GAUGAAGAACGCAGCGAAACGCGAUAAGUAAUGUGAAUUGCAGAAUUCAGUGAAUCAUCGAAUCUUUGAACGCACAUUGCGCCCCUUGGUAUUCCGAGGGGCAUGCCUGUUCGAGCGUCAUUACACCACUCAAGCACUGCUUGGUAUUGGGCACUCGUCCGUCGAAAGACGGGCGUGCCUCGAAGACCUCGGCGGGGUUUCUCCAACUUCGGGCGUAGUAGAGUUAAAUCAAAACGUCUUAUAAGCUUGGUGAGAUCUCAUUGCCGUUAAACCUUUUUUUUUCAGGUUGACCUCGGAUCAGGUAGGGAUACCCGCUGAACUUAAGCAUAUCAAUAAGCGGAGGA
rnacentral:misc_RNA from 1 species